AUUGAACGCUGGCGGCAGGCCUAACACAUGCAAGUCGAGCGGUUGACGGGAGCUUGCUCCCUGAUUCAGCGGCGGACGGGUGAGUAAUGCCUAGGAAUCUGCCUAUUAGUGGGGGACAACGUUUCGAAAGGAACGCUAAUACCGCAUACGUCCUACGGGAGAAAGCAGGGGACCUUCGGGCCUUGCGCUAAUAGAUGAGCCUAGGUCGGAUUAGCUUGUUGGUGAGGUAAUGGCUCACCAAGGCGACGAUCCGUAACUGGUAUGAGAGGAUGAUCAGUCACACUGGAACUGAGACACGGUCCAGACUCCUACGGGAGGCAGCAGUGGGGAAUAUUGGACAAUGGGCGAAAGCCUGAUCCAGCCAUGCCGCGUGUGUGAAGAAGGUCUUCGGAUUGUAAAGCACUUUAAGUUGGGAGGAAGGGUUGUAGAUUAAUACUCUGCAAUUAUGACGUUACCGACAGAAUAAGCACCGGCUAACUCUGUGCCAGCCGCCGCAGUAA
rnacentral:rRNA from 1 species